CCUGGUCCCAGAAGGAUCACAGGUGUGCCGGCUGUGUCACAUGUUCAUCCCUAGGUGGCACAGAGGAGAGAGGCCAUGUCUAUACUCAGUGUUCAAACCUAUGAACAUCUGAAUGAUAAGCAGCCUAACAUU
ensembl:snoRNA